rnacentral:lncRNA from 1 species
GAAAUGUGGAAACAUGACAGGGCAUACCUGAAACACACUAAGUCUGUACUUUGGGAAGGGCAGAAGUUAAGAAUUAAUCUAACUACUACUCCAACUGUCUUAGGUACUGAAGAAGACCUGGAAUUCUAUGUCAGGAAGUGUGGUGAUAUUCUUGGAGUAACCAGUAAACUACCAAAGGACCAACAGGAUGCCAAACAUAUCCUUGAGCACGUCUUCUUCCAAGUGGUGGAGUUCAAGAAAUUGAACCAGGAACAUGACAUCGAUACAAGUGAAACAGCAUUCCAGAACAAUUUCUGAAGACCAUGCCUCUUGAAGCUUUUUCUGCCUCCUGAUUCUCUCUUUGUAAACUAUUUUCAAAUUGUUUUUCAACUCCUUAUCAAAAUUGUUUAUACAGUCUUUCCUCCAUGAGCUCUGGAAGGUAUAUGCAUCUUCUGUAAUACUCAGAUAGGUAUAAGAUUUUUCACA